rnacentral:sRNA from 1 species
GACAUUUAACGCUGUAUAUUUUUAUGAAAACGGUUAACUUUAUAAUCCAGUUUUUACUCAUUAUAGUUGUUUAUUUGUUUGCAUAUUAAUAUCCGUGUUAAUCGUCUAAGCGAGCCUAUAAAGGCAAAUAUUAAUUAUUGUUAGGAUGUCUAAUAAAUGAAUAAGAAAACUGGCCAAGUAAAAUGGUUUAACGAAAGUAAAGGUUUUGGGUUUAUUACUCCAACUGAUGGAAGCAAAGAUGUAUUUGUUCACUUUUCAGCAAUUUCUGGGGAUGGAUUCAAAACCCUAGCUGAAGGGCAACAAGUCGAAUUUGCUAUCCAAGAUAGCCCUCGUGGACCAGCAGCGGCUGAAGUUGUCGUUGUUUAAUUAU